AAACUUGAGAGUUUGAUCAUGGCUCAGAACGUACGCUGGCGGCACGCCUAACACAUGCAAGUCGAACGAAGUAGCAAUACUUAGUGGCAGACGGGUGAGUAACAUGUAGGUAUCUGCCCUUUGGCCUGGAAUAACACGAGGAAACUUGUGCUAAUACCGGAUAAGUCUUUACGGAGAAAGCUUUAUGCACCAUUGGAUGAGCCUGCACUUGAUUAGUUUGUUGGUAGGGUAAUGGCCUACCAAGACUGUGAUCAAUAGCUGAUUUGAGAGGAUGAUCAGCCACAUUGGGACUGAGACACGGCCCAAACUCCUACGGGAGGCAGCAGUGGGGAAUCUUGCACAAUGGAGGAAACUCUGAUGCAGCGAUGCCGCGUGAGUGAAGAAGGCCCUUGGGUUGUAAAGCUCUUUCGUCGGGGAAGAAAAUGACUGUACCCGAAUAAGAAGGUCCGGCUAACUUCGUGCCAGCAGCCGCGGUAAUACGAAGGGACCUAGCGUAGUUCGGAAUUACUGGGCUUAAAGAGUUCGUAGGUGGUUGAAAAAGUUGGUGGUGAAAUCCCAGAGCUUAACUCUGGAACUGCCAUCAAAACUUUUCAGCUAGAGUUUGAUAGAGGAAAGCAGAAUUUCUAGUGUAGAGGUGAAAUUCGUAGAUAUUAGAAAGAAUACCAAUUGCGAAGGCAGCUUUCUGGAUCAUUACUGACACUGAGGAACGAAAGCAUGGGUAGCGAAGAGGAUUAGAUACCCUCGUAGUCCAUGCCGUAAACGAUGUGUGUUAGACGUUGGAAAUUUAUUUUCAGUGUCGCAGCGAAAGCGAUAAACACACCGCCUGGGGAGUACGACCGCAAGGUUAAAACUCAAAUGAAUUGACGGGGACCCGCACAAGUAGUGGAGCAUGUGGUUUAAUUCGAAGAUACGCGCAGAACCUUACCAACACUUGACAUGUUCGUCGCGACUUUAAGAGAUUAAAGUUUUCGGUUCGGCCGGACGAAACACAGGUGCUGCAUGGCUGUCGUCAGCUCGUGUCGUGAGAUGUUGGGUUAAGUCCCGCAACGAGCGCAACCCUCACUUUUAGUUGCCAUCAUUUAGUUGGGCACUCUGAAAGAACUGCCAGUGAUAAGCUGGAGGAAGGUGGGGAUGACGUCAAGUCCUCAUGGCCCUUACGUGUUGGGCUACACACGUGCUACAAUGGUAUUUACAACAGGAAGCAAGACGGCGACGUUAAGCAAAUCCUUAAAAAAUACCUCAGUUCGGAUUGCACUCUGCAACUCGAGUGCAUGAAGCUGGAAUUACUAGUAAUCGUGGAUCAGCGUGCCACGGUGAAUGCGUUCCCGGGUCUUGUACACACCGCCCGUCACACCAUGGGAGUUGGUUCUACCUUAAGGCAAGGUUUCAAACCCUUGACCACGGUAUAGUCAGCGACUGGGGUGAAGUCGUAACAAGGUAGCCGUAGGGGAACCUGCGGCUGGAUUACCUCCUUU
rnacentral:rRNA from 1 species